rnacentral:rRNA from 1 species
UACGAGGGGGGCGAGCGUUGUUCGGAAUUAUUGGGCGUAAAGGGUGCGUAGGCGGUUUGGUAAGUCUGAUGUGAAAUCUAUGGGCUCAACUCAUAGUCUGCAUCGGAAACUGCCGGGCUUGAGUGUGGGAGAGGUGGGUGGAAUUCCUGGUGUAGCGGUGAAAUGCGUAGAUAUCAGGAGGAACACCUGUGGCGAAAGCGGCUCACUGGACCAUAACUGACGCUGAUGCACGAAAGCUAGGGGAGCAAACAGG